UGGGGAAUAUUGCACAAUGGAGGGAACUCUGCUGCAGCGACGCCGCGUGAACGAAGAAGGCUUUCGAGUCGUAAAGUUCUUUUAUAUGGGAAGAUAAUGACGGUACCAUAAGAAAAAGCCCCGGCUAACUACGUGCCAGCAGUCGCGGUAAUACGUAGGGGGCUAGCGUUGUCCGGAAUCACUGGGCGUAAAGGGUUCGCAGGCGGAAAUGCAAGUCAGGUGUAAAAGGCAGUAGCUUAACUACUGUAAGCAUUUGAAACUGCAUAUCUUGAGAAGAGUAGAGGUAAGUGGAAUUUUUAGUGUAGCGGUGAAAUGCGUAGAUAUUAAAAAGAAUACCGGUGGCGAAGGCGACUUACUGGGCUCAUUCUGACGCUGAGGAACGAAAGCGUGGGUAGCAAACAGG
rnacentral:rRNA from 1 species